GCGGGCGUAACUCAAUUGGCAGAGUUCCAGCCUUCCAAGCUGGUUGUUGUGGGUUCGAAUCCCAUCGCCCGCUCCA
rnacentral:tRNA from 1 species